rnacentral:rRNA from 1 species
CUACGGGUUGCUGCAGUGGGGAAUAUUGGACAAUGGGCGCAAGCCUGAUCCAGCAAUGCCGCGUGAGUGAAGACGGCCUUAGGGUUGUAAAACUCUUUCGCUAGGGAAGAUAAUGACUGUACCUAGUAAAGAAGUCCCGGCUAACUCCGUGCCAGCAGCCGCGGUAAUACGGAGGGGACUAGCGUUGUUCGGAAUUACUGGGCGUAAAGAGUUCGUAGGUGGACUGACAAGUUAGAGGUGAAAUCCCAGGGCUCAACCCUGGAACUGCCUUUAAAACUGUCAGUCUAGAGACCGGAAGAGGUUAGGGGAAUACCUAGUGUAGAGGUGACAUUCGUAGAUAUUAGGUGGAACACCAGUGGCGAAGGCGCCUAACUGGUCCGGUACUGACGCUGAGGAACGAAAGCGUGGGGAGCAAACAGGAUUAGAUACCCCCGUAGUC